rnacentral:rRNA from 1 species
GUGCCAGCCGCCGCGGUAAGACGCAGGGGGCAAGCGUUGCUCGGAAUCACUGGGCUUAAGGGCGCGUAGGCGGUUGUGUAAGUCCAGGGUUGAAGGCCCCGGCUCAACAGGGGAAAGGCCUUGGAGACUGCAUGACUUGAGUGAGCGAGGGGAGGGCGGAAUUCCUGGUGUAGCGGUGAAAUGCGUAGAUAUCAGGAGGAAGGCCUGUGGCGAAGGCGGCCCUCUGGCGCUCAACUGACGCUGAGGCGCGAAAGCGUGGGUAGCAAACAGGAUUAGAUGCCCUGGUAGUCCACGCCCUAAACGGUGGGCACGAGGUGUGGGGCUCGAGAGGGUUCCGUGCCGAAGGGAAACCAAUAAGUGCCCCGCCUGGGGAGUACGGCCGCAAGGUUGAAACUCAAAUGAAUUGACGGGG